rnacentral:rRNA from 1 species
CCCUUAGAUGUUCUGGGCCGCACACGCGCUACACUGAAGGAGGCAGCGUGUACUCCUGGAUCGAAAGAUUUGGGUAACCCGCGAAUCUCCUUCGUGCUAGGGAUUGAGGUUUGCAAUUAUCCUUCAUGAACGAGGAAUUCCCAGUAAGUGCAAGUCAUAAGCUUGCGCUGACUACGUCCCUGCCCUUUGUACACACCGCCCGUCGCUACUACCGAUUGAAUGGUUUAGUGAGAUCUCCGGAUUGGCACCAUCGCGGCUUCGCGGCUGUGACGGAAUGCCGAAAAGUUGAUCAAACUUGAUCAUUUAGAGGAAGUAAAANUCGUANCA